UGGCAAGUGAUCAAUCGGGUGGGCCAUAGGAAAUAGUAACUUUGUAGAGUUUUGUUAAGUAGUUUUUAGAUAGAUAACAAUUGUGUAUUUGCGAGGAUACUGCACAGAUAGGAGUGGGGCUAUGUAGAAUAGAUAUUAGUUUGUUUCUAUAAGAUAUUGAUAAAAUAGACUAAUGAUCCAUAGAAUAGUCAAUUCAAGAGGACUGAUGGUUAACUUAGUUAUUAAAAUCAGUUAAUUACAGGAUUACUAUUAGAAUCUGGGAAUAGGGAGUAGGUAUAUAGGAGUUGUAGAACUUAGUCUGAGGGUUAGACUGUGAUAGUCAUGAG
rnacentral:lncRNA from 1 species